rnacentral:rRNA from 1 species
AGUGAACGCUGGCGGUAGGCCUAACACAUGCAAGUCGAACGGCAGCACAGUAAGAGCUUGCUCUUACGGGUGGCGAGUGGCGGACGGGUGAGGAAUACAUCGGAAUCUACUUUUUCGUGGGGGAUAAUGUAGGGAAACUUACGCUAAUACCGCAUACGACCUACGGGUGAAAGCAGGGGAUCUUCGGACCUUGCGCGAUUGAAUGAGCCGAUGUCAGAUUAGCUAGUUGGCGGGGUAAAGGCCCACCAAGGCGACGAUCCGUAGCUGGUCUGAGAGGAUGAUCAGCCACACUGGAACUGAGACACGGUCCAGACUCCUACGGGAGGCGGCAGUGGGGAAUAUUGGACAAUGGGCGCAAGCCUGAUCCAGCCAUACCGCGUGGGUGAAGAAGGCCUUCGGGUUGUAAAGCCCUUUUGUUGGGAAAGAAAAGCAGCAGGUUAAUACCCCGCUGUUCUGACGGUACACAAAGAAUAAGCACCGGCUAACUUCGU